UGGGGAAUUUUGGACAAUGGGCGAAAGCCUGAUCCAGCAAUGCCGCGUGUGUGAAGAAGGCCUUCGGGUUGUAAAGCACUUUUGUCCGGAAAGAAAUCCUUGGCUCUAAUACAGUCGGGGGAUGACGGUACCGGAAGAAUAAGCACCGGCUAACUACGUGCCAGCAGCCGCGGUAAUACGUAGGGUGCAAGCGUUAAUCGGAAUUACUGGGCGUAAAGCGUGCGCAGGCGGUUUGCUAAGACCGAUGUGAAAUCCCCGGGCUCAACCUGGGAACUGCAUUGGUGACUGGCAGGCUAGAGUAUGGCAGAGGGGGGUAGAAUUCCACGUGUAGCAGUGAAAUGCGUAGAGAUGUGGAGGAAUACCGAUGGCGAAGGCAGCCCCCUGGGCCAAUACUGACGCUCAUGCACGAAAGCGUGGGGAGCAAACAGGAUUAGAUACCCUGGUAGUCCACGCCCUAAACGAUGUUAACUAGUUGUUGGGGAUUCAUUCCUUAGUAACGUAGCUAACGCGUGAAGUUGACCGCCUGGGGAGUACGGUCGCAAGAUUAAAACUCAAAUGAAUUGACGGGGUCAUAGCUGUUUCCU
rnacentral:rRNA from 1 species